UCUCCCCCUGUCGGUAAGUUCUACGUUCCGGUGCAUCGUUGUCAUUGUCAAGUAGAAUUUGCCAAAGCAUUCGGAAGCAAACGGAAUCUCGUUUAUAACCGAUCAUCGAACGCAUACGAUAUUUUUCGCGACAGAAAGAAAAUUUCUCCUAAGAGAAGCGACCGCCGCUGCGAAUUUCUAAUCGGUCUGACCAUGAAUUACCGAUUCCAUUACUUUUCCAAUUGAGUGUUAAGAAUUCGAGAGAGAGAGAGAGAGAGAGACAUGAAAUCGUUGCGACUCGCAGACGCCAAGAUUUGUUCCACGUGACUUGUCGCCUCUCGUUUCCGCUUUCCAGUCGCAUGACGGACUACAAGGAAUGAAACCAUUGACGCGUUUCCGGCCACAGCGAGGACAAACGUGACAACGUAGAAGAGAAGAAGCGACGUUUAAAUCAAAGAUGUAUGGCUGGAACGUGAGAACGCUCUUUGAACUCUCCAAGGCAAGUGCCACAUCGAAGGUGAGUGUUACUGUUAAAACGGUCAUGAGAAAUGGAGAUUAUACUCAUCUACUGUUAGGGUCUAUCUACUCCAAUAAAUAGCCGACGACCGUGAGAUUCGCCGAGUAACGAGAAACGAAAAACGGCGAAGGAUUUUAAUCCGUCCUCUCCUGUCCCCGAUCAUCUACGUCAUUGCGGUACGUGAUUUUACAAAGAGAAGCGAGGCAAGCUGGCAGACAGGCAAAACCAGGCAAGGAGGCCGGCAGGCAAGCAGACAGGAAAGCAGGCAGAUGGCGAAUGGAGUGGAGCGUUUUACGCCUGGCUUCUCGAAAUUCGAAUUAGGAAUCUUUCAUCGCGUUCAUUCCACUACAUCAUUCUUAUCGAUCUUUGAAUUGAAUUUUUUCGUUGAAUUGCUUUUAAAUCGAAGCGAUCUAAUAACGAAUAAAAACGAAUACAAGCGGA